rnacentral:tRNA from 7 species
GGGCCCGUAGCUCAGCUAGGUAGAGCGCUCGGCUCAUAACCGAGUGGUCGAGGGUUCAAAUCCCUCCGGGCCCA